rnacentral:lncRNA from 1 species
UCCACUUUCAUUCAUUCCAAAAAAUCUAAGACUAAAUCGUUUUAACAAAAAAAAAAAAACCCACUGAUGCAGAAAUCAUAUAUGGUAUCCACAUGGCUGUACACUUGAACAACAAUAAACUCAGAUGUUCCAAAAAGCCCAAAAGAUAUCUCUAAGGAGGAUUUAAAUGCAAUCCUACAAACCUAAAGCCCAAGGUUCUCAACGCAUGCACUAGAUGCCAUAAAUGG